rnacentral:rRNA from 1 species
ACGUCAAGUCCUCAUGGCCCUUAUAGGUGGGGCUACACACGUCAUACAAUGGCUGGUACAGAGGGUUGCCAACCCGCGAGGGGGAGCUAAUCCCAUAAAGCCAGUCGUAGUCCGGAUCGCAGUCUGCAACUCGACUGCGUGAAGUCGGAAUCGCUAGUAAUCGUGGAUCAGAAUGCCACGGUGAAUACGUUCCCGGGCCUUGUACACACCGCCCGUCACACCAUGGGAGUGGGUUGCACCAG